rnacentral:misc_RNA from 1 species
AAAUGAUUUUCCAAAACAUUACGAAGCCGUUUCAGAUCUGCACAUGAUAAUAUACGCUCUCCGUUGGCACAGUCACGAUUAGAACUUAUGCUAGGUCAUGUAGGUAUGGUCGUUAAAUGUGGUUGAAAAAAUACAGGCCAACUAUCAGUUUCCAAGUACAAUUAACAUGAUGGAUAAAUUAGUAUCUAUCUCCGGGUGGCGAAGUCAUCCUGUGGCUGUAUAAACAAUAAUCAGUAAACACUAGGGUUCAAGGGGUCACUACACUGGCACACAGUGAUACACAUAUAUUACGCAGUAGGAGCUUGUGACAUGGAAGCAGAGCGAAGGCAGCCUAAACGGAGUCGACUUGACUUGUCUAAUCAUGGUCACAAAGAAAAAGACAUCGAUAUCCAGUCUCAAGUCGACAGUCUGUUCGGCAAGAAAUUUGUAUUUAACGGAGGGGAGUGGAGUCUUCCACCUUCAAGCAUCCUGUUUACAAGUGCAGUUUGGCAGAUCGAGGCACUGCAGACGAUGAAGCGAGAAUUGAACGAACUAAAGGACAGACUGAGUGACAAGGACAUCAUUGAGUGGGGCUCUCACACAGCUCAGACGAACAAGGCCGGGGCGGUUCUAUGGCACCUGAGAAAAUACUUCAGAGCUGAGCUCUGCACGCAGGCGUGGGCGAAGCUUCACGAGAUCCUGUGCGGUUUCCCGCUUGUGCCACGUGGUGGCGCCUUCAACUCGCUGCACCUAUGUGAAGCACCAGGAGCAUUCGUCACCAGCCUGAACCACUACGUGCGGACGAGGGCUGUGCCAGUGGAAUGGACCUGGCUCGCUACAACACUCAACCCGUUCUACGAGGGAAACAAGAUCGGGUGCAUGAUCGAUGAUGACAGGUCCUUGAUGAUUCACACACUAGAUAACUGGUACUUUGGGAAGGAUAACACUGGUGAUGUGAUGAGCGAAGAGAACCUUGCUGGUCUGAUAAAUCAUGUCAAGAGUGGCGUGGGAGGCAUUCAUCUAGUGACAGCAGAUGGCAGCAUCAACUGUCAGCAUGAUCCUGCCGAGCAGGAGCACAUUGUGUCGCCGCUGCACUUCUGUGAGGUCGUCACUGCACUUCAUCUACUGGUGCCCUCUGGUGGCUUGGUCGUGAAGCUGUUUACCAUGUUUGAGCAUGCCUCUGUAUGCCUGUUGUACUUGCUCUGCAAUGUGUUUCAAAAGGUUUCAGUAGUGAAGCCUGCCACGAGCAAGGCGGGAAACUCGGAGGUGUAUGUCGUAUGUCUCAGUUACGAGCCCCCAGAGCAGUUCAGCACGUUCCUGGAGGCAUUGCGUGCAAAGUUUGGGCCGGAUUCAACCGCGGAACCGAUGUUUCCGUUGUCUGCGCUCCCCGAGGGGUUCCUCUCGCAGGUUAUCGACUGCUGCACUCUGUUCACCUCGCACCAGAUCAAGGAAAUCUCCAGGAAUCUGCGCCUGUUCCGGAAUCCGGAGGCGGAUGAGAGCAGGGAGAGCUUGGAGGCAGUGCGUCACGGCGUGGCUUCGCGAUUCAUCGUCGAGCAGCAGCUGAUGCCGAUGACUGAUGCUCAGCGCGUCGUCCCUCACCUGAACCAGAGGAUACAAGAGUUCGGGUGCAGCUACCAGAGCAAGGGUAAGCGUCUGCUCACAGGGACCUAUCGAGAGAGACUGGGAAAGCAGAGUUUGUGGAGAGAAACGGCCAGCCAGUUGGUGAGAGGUCUGGAGGGAAAGGAGCAGCAAGAUCUCUGGUACUGGCUGCAGCCGCCAUGCAGGGAUCUAGGGGAGACAGACUUGGAGCUGGUGACAGGAAGGCAGCUUACACGUGUGGUCAGCACAAAGUUCUGCGAUCCUGUGCUUAUAGAGCUCCUGGACGACGCACUGUCUAAUUCAGCAGCAUCGCAGACAGCCGUCGACAGUGGUUCGUGGAUUCCAGAGUUUGCUAGCAGUUUAUGCCAAGCUUUGCUACUGAGCACCCCCGACUGUGUGGAGCUGAACUAUGCACUGCAUGCAGGUGGGGGGAAGGCAGACACGAUGUUUCUAACGAAACUGAAACAGGAAUUGGGAAAACUUGUAAAGCUACGUAGUGACAGAAACCAAGCUGUCGAAACUGGAGUCAAAACGUGUAGCAAGAAGCCGGGGGAAGGCUGUGGAACUGCCGUCUCAUUCGAUCUGUCACCGGCCGAAGCCGUGGCUGGUGACACUCCGGCAGCAACCGACGUAUCUGCUGCGAAGUUAACCCGUUAUUGCGACGAUCCAGGUGGCUGCCACAGCGAUGGGAAGGCUAGCGUGAAGCCUUACCUGUUGCUUAGAGACGUGACCAGUGACGCUAAGGUGACGGGGGAGGUGGAUGCAAUGGACACGCUCCUCAAGUGCGCACUGAAUGCUGUCGAGGUGUUGCCACCAGGUGGUGCCAUGGUACUGUGUAUGUAUGACAUGCUCACCAGAAUGAAUGUUGGAAUGCUGUAUAUUUUUCAACACAUUUUCGAAAAGGUCGGCGUGUACAAACCAGUGGCGACAUCUGUUGGCGGCUCCCGCGUGCUGGUAUGCGCCGGCUACCGUGGCUGCCCAGGAUACCUACUCCACCACAUGCAGGCAGCUGCUGUUCUGACCUCGCAGCUAACUCAAGGGCACCAAGUACUGCAGUUGGUGGCCAUGAGUUGUCUACUAGAGAAAUACUUUUACAAUUUCGUCUGCGACAUGAACGAUAAUAUAUUGCUGAGACGCCUCCAGGCUUUGAUGGCAGACGACCUGCAGACCUGUUGACAAAAAAAACGUAGAGCAAGUUAGGUAAUGAAGAGCCACUCUUGCCCUAGUAAAAUGUAUUUAUCAUUAUUUAUCAACCUAGUAGAAAUUAAUGUGUCAUUAUUUUACUGUAAAACAACAGCAAUAUAAUGUCUCGUACAAAGGAAGAUGAGAAAGAUAGAUA